CCCAUUAUCUUAGCAUUACCUUUGAUAGGCUAAUGACAGGUGAUGUGUUUUAGUUGUAUGAUCACUACACCAAAAUCGAUUAUUAUUGCCAAUACAAUCUAUUUUCUAUGAGAUAGCAUGAUCACUCCCAAGGGAUGGUUCGCCACACAAAAAAGGAUACGCCUGUCCAUGAGCGAUUGUAAGUCUUGGGCUGAACUAUCUAUUGGUGUGAUAUUUGUAAGUUGUGAUGUUUCUUAUAACUUGAAAAUUUUCUUUUCAUCUUCUUUCAGUUCAUCCAGAGACUUGGAACCCAAUGUGGUCUGUGGCAAGGUAAGGGUACAAUACAUUACGCAAUAAUGAUAUGGAAUGAUUUCUUAUCAUGGUUAAGCACAAGAGAAUUGAUUCUUAUAGAAUGAUUUCUUAUCAUGGUUAAGCAUAAGAGAAUGGAUUCUUAUAUAUUAAUGCAGCAACUAUGGAUUAAAGGUGACACUACCUAAUGCAUCUGUCCAUUUUAACGCUUCCUACAGUACUCCUAUGAACAUUUCUAUGUGAUGGAUCACCUGGCAGGUUGGCAUAUGCCUGCAAAAAUCAGGAGAAAGCCACAUAUGCCAAAUUCUUUUUGUAAAGUGGUGG